rnacentral:misc_RNA from 1 species
CAUUCCUUAGCGACAACACGGUCCGUGCAGUCCUCCCCCGUCAUGAUAGAUAGGGAAGAAUCCGCCGCAGGAGUGACUGUCAUUCUUUUCGAGGCACAAGGCAACCCGUAUAGGGACAAUGAAGGGGGACAACCCCCAGCCCGCAUAACUUUCAGCAUCCGAAAGCACCAGCAAAAGACACAUGGGCCAACGCAGCCGUGUCUCGGCGUGCAUGGAACACGUGCAUCGCUACGAUGUCCACCCCGUGCAAUGACAGGCAGAGGGCAGAGGAGCACAAGGAUCGAAUUCGAUUUCCACCAUAGUGGGUAAGCAACACAGGAACCAAGCAUCACCACGAAACAAUGUUUCGGGUAUUUGAAUCUGAAUGGAUCACGGGAAAACAGUUCGGUGCGCGAAGCAUGGAGCCUGCCUUCCCAAACAAUCCUAACACCACUCACGCGC